rnacentral:rRNA from 1 species
AUUGAACGCUGGCGGCAUGCUUUACACAUGCAAGUCGAACGGUAACAGGCCUUCGGGUGCUGACGAGUGGCGAACGGGUGAGUAAUGCAUCGGAACGUACCCAGAGGUGGGGGAUAACGCAGCGAAAGCUGUGCUAAUACCGCAUGUGAUCUGAGGAUGAAAGCGGGGGACCGCGCAGCAAUGUUUGGCCUCGCGCCUUUGGAGCGGCCGAUGUCGGAUUAGCUAGUUGGUGGGGUAAAGGCCUACCAAGGCGACGAUCCGUAGCUGGUCUGAGAGGACGACGAGACAGGAGGGGACAGAGGACAGGCACAGGAUCAGGCGGGAUGCAGCAGGGGGGAAUUGUGGAAAAUGGGCGGAAGCUUGGUCCAGCGAUGCAGCGGGGGGGAAGCAGGGCCUGGGGGUGGAGAGCGCUUAUGGCGGGAACGAAAGGGAGACGGCUAAUAACAUGCGCGUCUGAAGGUGCGGGCAGAAUAAGAACCGGCUCAAUUCGUG